AAAUUAGAGAAGAAGAAGAUAUAAACAAGUUAAAAAAAGGACCAUGUAGAGAGAGUUUAAUAAUCUUUUAUUACAAAUUAUACAUAACCUGAGCCGCUGCUAACAAAGUUCUGUUAUUAUCAAUGCUCUAUUUAAAAUAUAGGUUGGAAAAAGUAAGUAAGAGAUUAACUGAACAUCUUAUCAAACCUUUAUCUUGUAAAUGCCCAUUUUAUUUCUCUAAGUUACCAAUUGGUUAUAUUCACCUUCUACCUCCUUAGUUACUACUACAACCUCAGUUAACACCAAAAAUGUGUGCUGUUCUUUCACUACUUGUUUAGACUUGUAUUUAUCUUCAGAAAUUAGUAUAUCACUGUGCCAGCUCAGGUUGAGCAGUCUGGGAAGAAAGAGAGGCACAGCUGAGAUGGUUUGGGUUUGUGAAAAGGAUAGUGGAUAUACUGUGCAAAGGAUGCUGAAUAUAGAAGUGCCAGAAAUAUUGAAAAGGGAAGAAACCCUGGGAGGAAACUCAUAGACGUAGUGAAGGAGAGGGUUGGUGUGAAAGAUAGUAGGGGUAGGGAGAGUUGAAGGCAGAUAAAGAGAUGAAGGCAGAUGAUCCACUAUGAUGACCCCUGUCCCCCAAAAUAAAAAGGCCCAGUUAAAGGUAGAAGAAAAUUAUAUUUACAAAUACAUUCUUGCUGCACUUUUUAUUCUGUCUGUAAGCACUUUCUAAAAAUUAUCCUCCAGAGGAUGCACCGGAUUAGAGGAGCCUCGACAAACUGUGCAAUGUAGCUAAGGAUUCAUUUAAUUAUUGAUACAUGUCCACAAUAUUUCCAUCCAUUUAUUUUCUUCUGCUUAUCUGGGGCUGGGUCGCGGGGGCAGCAGCCUAAUCAGAGAGGUCCAGACUACCCUUUCCCCAGCCACCUGCUCCUUAUCCUAGACUUGUAGUCAAGACCGCCUAAACCAAGACCAAGACAAUACCAAGACCAGAGGGUAUCGAGACCAAGACAAGACCAAGACCAAGACCAAGACAGACCGAGUCAAGACCAAGACAAAGUCGAGACGAGACCAAGACCGAGACUGAGACCGAGACAAAAAAUGUCAUGGUCCCCGCACCUUGCCAGCUGACAUCAGCCAGGCACUAUGUUUUGUUUUGUUUAUUCUCCUCUCUCACCUCUGCUCUCUCUUUCUCUCUUGUUCUCUCCCACUCUCUCUUUCUCCUGCCGGGGCGGAGCUCAGUAUGGGCUCCCGCCCCUGGCCCAAGCACCUGGGAAUGAUCAGCACACCUGCCGCUGAUUACGAGAAUUAGAGUCCUACUUAAGAUGGCAGACCUGCUCUACUCAUCGCUGGAUUGUUGAGCCAUCAGCAUUCCCCCCGGACCCGUUCCCUGUGCACUGUGACUGAGCGUGAGCAAGAGUGGUGGUGGAGAGAAGAGGAGCUGUUUGUGUUU